ensembl:lncRNA
AGCGGGUGAGAUAGAUAUCAGAGUGCAGGAGCCCAGGAAGAGAUCCAAGACCUGAAACACAAGGAGAGUGGAAAGAAAGCGUUGUGCAAUCUGGAGGGAACUUCCAGGUUUCCACGCCGACUGUGACGGACACUUAGAAGCGGGUGAGAUGGAUAUCAGAGUGCAGGAGCCCAGGAACAGAUCCAAGACCUGAAACAUAAAUGGAGUGGAAAGAAAGCGUUGUGAAAUCUGGAGGGAACCUACAGGUUUCCACGCCUGCUGUGAUGGAUGCUUACAAGCGGGUGAGAUGGAUAUUAGCGUGCAGGAGCCCAGGAAGAAAUCCAAGAAAUGAAAAAUAAGGAGAUUGGAAAGAAAGUAUUGUGAAAUCUGGAGGGAAACUCCAGGUUUCCACGCCGGCUGUGAUGGAUGCUUAGAAGCGGGUGAGAUGGAUAUCAGAGUGCAGGAGCCCAGGAACAGACCCAAGACCCUAAACACAAGGAGAGUGGAAAGAAAGCGUUGUGAAAUCUGGAGGAAACCUUCAGGUUUCCACGCCGGCUGUGAUGGAUGCUUACAAGCGGGUGAGAUGCAUAUCAGAGUGUAGGAGCCCAGGAACAGACCCAAGACCCUAAACACAAGGAGAUUGGAAACAAAGCGUUGUGAAAUCUGGAGGGAACCUACAGGUUUCCACGCUGGAUGUGAUGGAUGCUUACAAGCGGGUGAGAUGGAUAUCAGAGUGCAGGAGCCCACGAACAGGUCCAACACCUGAAACAUAAGGAGUUUGGAAAGAAAGCCUCCUGAAUUCUUGAAAUUUUUUAAAGAUGCUUCAUCUCCCAACCCAGAAGCUCCUUUAGCCCCCUGCGAAUGCCCGCCGUUUUUUUUUUU